rnacentral:lncRNA from 1 species
ACACGCACAGAGUACACUGUUUACGAAGUUCGUUCACGUUCAUGGCCCGAAAGAAAGUCAACAACGCAGUACCUCACGGUACUUGUUGACGAGAUCCGCCAAGACGCCGCCACAUGGCCGCGAUGCCGCACUCUUCGUCGUUGAAGUUCGCCUGGUGCGUCGUUUCAUAAUGAACGCAAUUUAAGAAGGCAAAAGACUCUAAACCGCUCAACCAAUUGCAUAAAUCAAGUGAAGUAAA